GAUGAACGCUGACAGAAUGCUUAACACAUGCAGGUCAACUUGAACUUCGGUUUGGGUGGCGGACGGGUGAGUAACGCGUAAAGAACUUGCCUCACAGAUAGGGACAACAUUUGGAAACGAAUGCUAAUACCUGAUAUUAUGAUUUUAGGGCAUCCUAGGAUUAUGAAAGCUAUAUGCGCUGUGAGAGAGCUUUGCGUCCCAUUAGCUAGUUGGAGAGGUAACGGCUCACCAAGGCGAUGAUGGGUAGCCGGCCUGAGAGGGUGAUCGGCCACAAGGGGACUGAGACACGGCCCUUACUCCUACGGGAGGCAGCAGUGGGGAAUAUUGGACAAUGGACCAAGAGUCUGAUCCAGCAAUUCUGUGUGCACGAUGAAGUUUUUCGGAAUGUAAAGUGCUUUCAGUUGGGAAGAAAAAAAUGACGGUACCAACAGAAGAAGUGACGGCUAAAUACGUG
rnacentral:rRNA from 1 species